UGGCGCGUUUCCGUCUUUCAGCGUCUACUCUGCUUUCAGGCGGUCGCAGUGGAGUUCGCUCUUCUAAAAAGACCGUUUUAUUUGUAACUACUAAACGACAUGUUAGUCCCACGCUACAAUUCCAUUUUGGAGUUAAACGGUGAAGUUUGGUGUCGAAAUUCGAACAAUAUUGUGGCUACAAUGGCAGCUUGGCGACCAGCAGUCACGUGGACUCAAGCAUGGCGCACCUUACAGAAUUCACUCGGCCAGGACGCCAUCAAAGCUGGGACCGCCGCUGAAGAUUGGAGGUCAUGAGUCGUGGCAUUUGGGACGUCACAUAAAUGGUUUGGAGGUGUGCUGCUCAAGUUUCCAGAACCUCUGUUCUGUGAUCCAUGUGAGGUUCUGACCCACCUUGAGGUUUCCUGAAGACCUGCCAUCUUCUACACGUUCAUUGAAAUGUUUAGGUUGUCCACUGAAGGCCCAAAGUCUGGGAUUACCCUACAGAAGAGAAAGGAUGGAUGGCUUCAGGAUCCCACCUUUCAUCUUAGUCAGAAUGUGGAACUGGUCGGCCUUUUGAUGAGGAAGGAAAUUAUUGAAGAAGCAGCUUUUUUGUGUAUAAAUGUUUCAAAUGAAUUAAACAACUUUUGAUU